ensembl:lncRNA
UAGGGUAGGGGCGGCAGGUAGCCUAGUGGUUAGAGUGUAGGGGCGGCAGGUAGCCUAGUGGUUAGAGUGUAGGGGCGGCAGGUAGCCUAGUGGUUAGAGUGUAGGGGCGGCAGGUAGCCUAGUGGUUAGAGUGUAGGGGCGGCAGGUAGCCUAGUGGUUAGAGUGUAGGGGCGGCAGGUAGCCUAGUGGUUAGAGUGUAGGGGGCGGCAGGUAGCCUAGUGGUUAGAGUGUAGGGGCGGCAGGUAGCCUAGUGGUUAGAGUGAGGGGCCGUAGGUAGCCUAGUGGUUAGAGUGUAGGGGGGGCAGGUAGACUAGUGGUUAGAGUGGAGGGGCCGUAGGUAGCCUAGUGGUUAGAGUGUAGGUGCGGCAGGUAGCCUAGUGAUUAGAGUGUAGGGGCGGCAGGUAGCCUAGUAUUUAGAGUGUAGGGCGGCAGGUAGCCUAGUGGUUAGAGAGUAGGGGCGGCAGGUAGCCUAGUGGUUAGAGAGUAGGGGGCGGUAGCCUAGGGUUAGCCUAGUGGUUAG